ACUUCUGGAAACGGAUGCUAAUACCCGAUAUGCUGUGGAGUGAAAUGAAUUUCGCCUAAAGAUGAUCUUGCGUCUGAUUAGCUAGAUAGGGUGGUAAUGGCGCCCUAUGGCGACGAUCAGUAGCUGGUCUGAGAGGAUGGACAGCCACAUUGGGACUGAGACACGGCCCAAACUCCUACGGGAGGCAGCAGUGGGGAAUUUUCCGCAAUGGGCGAAAGCCUGACGGAGCGACGCUGCGUGAAGGAUGACGGCCUGAGGGUUGUAAACUUCUUUUCUCGAAGAAGAAUCAAUGACGGUAUUCGAGGAAUAAGCAUCGGCUAACUCUGUGCCAGCAGCCGCGGUAAGACAGAGGAUGCAAGUGUUAUUCGGAUUGAUUGGGCGUAAAGCGUCUGUAGGCGGUUUAGAAAGUCUUUUGUGAAAUACUUCAGCUCAACUGGGGCUCCGCAAAAGAAACUUCUAGACUUGAGGGAAGUAGAGGUACAGGGAAUUUCCGGUGGAGCGGUGAAAUGCGUA
rnacentral:rRNA from 1 species